rnacentral:misc_RNA from 1 species
UCUCUUUCCAUUUUGAAAGGUAAUAUAUUGAUCAGUUGUCAUUUGUCAUUGAACUAUUAUGCUGAACCAGCUAUUAGCUGAGAGAAAUAUUGAGUUAAGGUUUAGAAUAGUUGCUGAUUCAGCAAAUCUUAGUUGAGAACUUUAUGUUGUUGCAUAGGUUAUGGCACUACCAAUUCUAGUGCAUCAAUUUCUUUAAUUCAAUUAAAUGUUAUGCAAAUCCCAACUCGGUGAUCAUUGACAUGACAACUUUGAUUGCAUAUCAAUGUUUUGGAAGUCGAGUAGGCUUAUACAACAUUCUUGCUUUUUGCAGGUGUAUUGCCAAAGUAUUUCAGCUCAGAGUGGUCAGUGGCUCAGUUUCGAUUACCUGAAGGAUUGCAGUAUUUUGUUGCAUUUGGCCAUCAGAAGAACACAGUUGUAAUCAUUGGCAUGGACGGAAGGUAAAUGAAAUAUCAUAUUAUUCUCGUUUUGCUUUUGGUUUUUCUCUGUUCACGUGAACCAUUAUAUAGCUUAAUUGAUUACCAUUCAUAAUUUCCCAAGGCAAUCGCCAAGUCUAAAAAUCUGGUACUUACAUUUGGCUAAAAUGUUUCAGUGGAUCAUAUUUUGAAAAUCAUGAACCUUUAAUUCAUUUUCCUGUAACUUGGAACUUUAAUUGAAUGUCUUAUUGCAUUGCGCAGCUUCUAUCGAUGUGAGUUUGACCCAGAAAGUGGUGGGGAGAUGACUCAGCUUGAAUAUCACAAUUUCCUGAAUGUAGAAAUGUAGACAAUUUCAUAAAAGCCUAGAGAAACUUUUUCAAGGUUGAUGUAAAGAUUGUUUCCAAUUUUUUACCGGCAAUUAUUGUUAAUACUGCAUGUUGUACAACUUGAAGGUACAAGAAAUUACCGAGUCGAGAAGAGCUUCCAGGCUGCGAACAGUUUGUAAAUGUCUGUAAAUAAUAGUCAUAACUCGUAAUAUGAAUCUGACUGGCAACUUAAUAUAAAAGCCUUCAUCUCCAAUUUCUUGGAAUCCCUCAUCUAUCUGACAAGUUUCAAGCCAAGUAUUUUGUCUAUAUUGAUGGUUUUGUCUUGUUCAGCACUAGAUUUUGGAAUAAGUCGUAACGUGCCACAGGCUUGGAACAGCAGACCGUAUCCUACUGAAGAUAUAAUAGGCGUUCUGGUACUGAUAUUAUUCCGAGACUGGCUUUCGUGAAAAUCUCAAGAUCAAAUUUAUCUACCAUUGUUAUUUAAUUACUCUUUACCAUUUGAAGGAUGGUACCUCCUUGAUGCUUUCGACAGGCUUCCCAUCAAAUUCAAUCACAACAUCACCAGGAUGGAAUCCAGCACGAUCUGCAGGAGACCCUGGAGUUACCAUUGGUACAAGAACGCCUCUGUCUACAUUAGGGAAUCUAGGAUCUCUCUCCUUAAGUUGAGCAGUGAUCAUUUCAUUGAGAUCAAUCAUCUUCAAGCCAAGCCAAGGCCUGACAACUCUCCCACUCUUCUUGAAAUGCUCUAUGAUUUUGAUCACUGAAUCGAUUGGUACAGCAAAACUCAACCCAUCUGCAGCCAAUACUUUCAUGAUAUUAACACCAACAACUUGUCCAUCAACAUUAACAAGCGGCCCACCAGAAUUUCCCGCAUUGAUUGCACAAUCUGUCUGUAAAUACUCUCUUCGCAUGCCUCCAAGACCCAAGUCACUGCUUUUACGGUCAACACAACUUACAAUACCAGCUGUCACAGUAUUUUGAAGGGAAAGUGGGCAGCCCAUAGCUAUCACCCAAUCACCUGGGCGAAGCUUACUUGAGGACCCAAGCUUUGCCGUAGGCAAUGGAGUUUUAGACUUUAUCUUGACGAUAGCAAUAUCAGAAUGUAAAUCAGCAUUGACCACUGUACCCUCAAACGUACGACCAUCUUGCAAAGUCACAUCUACCUUCCCUUUGGAUGAACCUCUCAUGCCUUGAAAAUCCACCACAACAUGAGCACAAGUUAAAAUAGUGCCGUCUGAAUCAAUAAUAGUUCCAGAGCCUAUGCUCUUUCCAGUAGUAAUCCCAUAGAAUCCCUGUGGAACAGAUAGAUUGACAACAGCAGGACCAACCCUGGCAGCGGCAUUGGCUAUAGUGUCCCUGCCUAAGCAUCCACAACUUGGUUUUGGACCAUCAACAACACCGGGACUCUCUUUCUGUAUGUCAGCGGAUGGAGCAGGACUAACUCUAGAAUAAAACAAUGGAAGAAUUCCAAAGUGCCAGUGAUCUGCAGAAAUAAAUGAAGGACGCAAAGGGAUCAAGUGCUGUGACCAUGGCAAUGAUACAGAUUCACGCAAUGGUAGAGGAACUGCUAGAGACACCGUUGCAUCUAUAACAUUCAAUCAAUCAAUCAAUCCAUAAUAGUUAAUUUUUCUACAGAAAUUGAAGGAAAUAGGCAAGAAAUUUUCAGUUAGGGAGAAAAACAAAAUGGAAGGAGAAGGUAAUUGCGGAGAGAAUGGAAAGCUCACUGGAAUAAGAGUUGCCCUUAGCAUAGAGAAGGCCCGACCCGGCAGCAGCAAUGGAUAGUGCUCGAAAGAGGGAGUGUCUGCUGCAAGAGGUUGAAGCCUUUUUCAGAAACUGGUUCAUGUCCCUCACUUCCGGUACGUAUCGAUUCAAAAACCUAGUAAAACCCCUUGCUCUGGGUUUUAGAACGAUCGAAGUAUACCCGGAGCCCCAACGCCAUUUUUAAUGGAAGUUUCGAAGUACCUGGGCCAAGUUCACAGCCAACAGCCCAAACCCAUUUCCCCUUUUAUAUGCCAGAUCCCAUGAGGGCUUCAAAAGCCUCAUAGGUUAUCUGGUAAAACGACAGAGCCAACUUCCAUCUGGCCUGCUUUCAAGUUACUUUUUAUGGCAUAUGAUUCCAGAUCUCAAUAACAAUCUUCAGGCCUGCUUGUUCACAUCUCAGGCCAAGUCCUUUCCUUUGAAGGAGCUCAAUCUCAGCUCAUAUUUAAUACACUAUCCCUUAUUAUGGUUUGGAAGUCCAGAAGGACUAUUUACAAUCAACUAAACAAGCAAACACUGGUAUGCGCCAAGAACCCUACACUAAUCAUGAAAAAAACAAAGCAGAGCAAAGAAUGCAGAAACGGGCAAAUUUCCAUUAGAAAUUUUAUCACCAGCUACAUUAUGCACCAUAAGGAUAGUUAAAUUCACAAGGGGGAAAAAACUACUAGAUCCUACAUUCCAUUAUUGGAAUUAAAACAUAAUUAGUGGGAUUCAUCUUUAGGCGCUUUUGGAGGACUUAGGGGAUUUGGGCUCAGAAGAUUUAUCGGUAGCUGCAGAUUUCUUGGGCAAAAGAACAGGGUUGAUGUUUGGUAGCACCCCUCCACUAGCAAUGGUCACACCUUGAAGCAAUUUCCCCAACUCCUCAUCGUUCCUCACAGCUAAUAGUACGUGCCUAGGGUUUAUUCUGUUCUUCUUGUUAUCACGUGCUGCAUUACCAGCCAGUUCCAGCACCUCAGCGGCUAGAUACUCAAGAACAGCAGCGAGAUAGAUCGGGGCUCCUGAACCAUAUCUCUGAGCAUACCGGCCCUUUUUGAGAAAACGAGCAAUCCGACCCACUGGGAAUUGAAGGCCUGCCCUAGUCGACUUGGAAACAGCCUUCUUCCUGUCCCCUCCUCUUCUUCCUCCUGCACCUUUCUUCUCCUUUGGAGCGUCCAUUUUUAACAAAAAUCAGACGAGAUCGGAAACUUUGAAAUCGAAACGGAGCGUUUUAGAGGGAAAACCUGAAAACGUUCG